rnacentral:lncRNA from 1 species
CCCUCUGCUAUGAGAAGAGUGUUCCAGAGAGGGGCUGCUCCUCCAGCCUACAUCCUGGGAUGGAAAGAAAUGUGGAGCUCAGCAGAGCCCAAAGCAAGCCAGAGCUGACGAGAAAUGGUUGAUUCCAGGGCUGGGGUGGUGAAGGUAAAGAUGAGUCUGGAACAUUUUGCCUUGCAAGAAAGUUAAAAAGGUGCCCACAAAAAUGAUAGCAAUAUGUCAAUAGAACACAGAAGUCAACCUGAAAGGGUUCCCACUGGCCAAAUGUGGGGCAAUUUAAGCAUCAAAACAAAAGGAUUAGGCCAGGCAUGGUGGCUCAUGCCUGUAAUCCCAGCAUUUUGGGAGGCUGAGGCUGGCAGAUCACCUGAGGUCAGGAGUUCAAGACCAGCCUGGCCAACAUGGCGAAACCUCAUCUCUGCUAAAAUUACAAAAAGUAGCUGCACAUGGUGGCGCACGCCUGUAAUCCCUGCUACUAGGGAGGCUAAGACACAAGAAUCGCCUCAACCAAGGAGGCAGAGGUUGCAGUGAGCCAAGAUCUCACCACUGCACUCCAGCCUGGGCAACAGAGCAAGACACUGGCUCAAAAAAUAAAUAAAUAAAAAACAAAUUGAUUAAAAUUAAUUUAAUAAAAUAGUAAUCUAAGAGUGAAUUAUUUCAAAACAAAGAAAAAGAGAAAAAAAGAAAAUCCAUCCUUAAAAAUGGAUACAGACCAAUAAAGCUGAAAGGAAUGGACGCACUCUGGAUCUAAGCCUCCCUCACACCUCUUCUCCAGGCCACCUUGUCCAGGUCACAGUCUACACACUUGUAUGCACCGGCCCUGGGGAGUGGAAAGAAGCAUGCUUAUCAACCAGAAGUGUCUAAAAAAGAAAGACUUCUCAAGAGAACUUUUUCCAGUUAGAGGAGCCAAAAAUAAAUAAAUAAAUAUAGAAGACAUAAAAAUAGAGCAAUGGAGUAACAGAAUAAGAAGUGGUGAUAAGACCCAGUGACAGGAACAUGGAGUCCCAGACCUGCUGACAACAGAGCAGGGAGCUCAUAACAAAGAAACAGAAGACAGUUCUGCAAUUCCACAGCCCUUGAAACCACAGAGCAAGAAAAACAAUUACGCAGCAUGAGUUGCCAUCACUUUCUGUCUUGAAGCAUCACAGAUAUCAACCAUUGAUAUCGAUCGUGGAGUUCUUCCCUACUGCUCCUGGAUGCAUCCUCAGGAUCUUUCUCAACACUACAAUCUGCUGGCUUUUCAUCCAAGGCAAAGGACAUCUUCUCCACAUGUAUAAGAGUUUUAUAACAUUGAGGGUAGGAAGUGACCUCUAGUGCUGGGUCUCAAUUCAGCAUCCAUGUUGGUGACAGACCUAAACUAGGGACCUUUACAAUAAAAGAGUAGAGAACAUUUUGGUAUAUGUGCUGCCAAAGCAAGCAAGAGUAUAGAACAUUUUAGAGUUUUUCACCCAAGUAACUAUGCUAAUUUUAACAAUUACAGCAAACUGGUGCCUUAAAGGUUAAUUCCUUCCCAGCUAUAAAGAAUUCUUUCUCUAAGCAGUCCAUAAAACUUAAAUUUAACUAUGGAAUGCCAGAACAAGCAUGGUUAACUUUUACUAAAUCUACCUGUGGCACUGGGAGUUUUUAAUGGUCAUACUUAAACCAAAUGUCAAUCAAAAGCGUUUACACCUCCAUUUAAGAAUUAGCAGUUUAGAUUGUAAGGCUCCAAGGGAAAUAAAAUUCCACCAGUUUUCCCAUGAUCCCUAAAGUCACAGGAGGCGGGAACUUUUAGCUAAGAACAUGAGUAUCUUAGAGAAGUAGAAUGAGAAUGAUGCAGAAAAGUUUUAAAAGUUUUUAUAAUAAGGGAAGGGUAUAGCCCUGUUUCUCUCAAGCCCAGAUUUCUAGGCCUCAAAGCCCACACAUAUUUGUACAGCUUCUCUAGGACUACAGAAUCUCCUACAAAACAUUUAAUUUGGUGGCUUAAUAUGAAAAUCAUCCUUCAGCAUACAUUAAUCUAGGGUAGGGAUCUGCAAACUCUUUCUGUAAAGGGCCAGAUAGUAGAUUAUUUUCAGCUUUGCAGGCCAUACAGUCUGUCCAACAGCAACUCUGCUGUUGUAGAAGGAAAGCAGCCAUAUACAAUAUAUAAACAAGUGAACAUGGCUGUGUUCCAAUAAAACUUUAUUUACAACAAGCAGGCAUGGAGCUGGAUUUGGGCCACGGCCACAGUUUGCUGAACCCUGGUCAGUUUGCAGAGCAUCAAGCGCAGCUGAGUUGCAAACUGGUUUUCCAGAUGCAGCUGCCAACUUCCACCUCACCCAUGAUAUGAAACCUUUCCUUCUGGUGGUUCCUAACAUGCCUUUGUUUUAAAAUCCGAGGGGAUGUUCAUGUACUAAUGGAUACAUCACUGCCUCCUCUUAUUUACAAAGUAUUGUGGGGACUACUGGGAUUUAGCUUACUAGCAACCUCUCAGCAUAAGCAGAGCCAGGAGGCUCCACUGAAAAGACUCCUAAUGUACAAUUAAAAUGUCAUCACUGGAGAUGCUUUUUUGCACCC